ACGAACGCUGGCGGCAUGCCUAACACAUGCAAGUCGAACGAGACCUUCGGGUCUAGUGGCGCACGGGUGCGUAACGCGUGGGAACCUGCCCUUAGGUUCGGAAUAACUCCCCGAAAGGGGUGCUAAUACCGGAUAAUGUCUUCGGACCAAAGAUUUAUCGCCUUUGGAUGGGCCCGCGUUGGAUUAGCUAGUUGGUAGGGUAAAAGCCUACCAAGGCGACGAUCCAUAGCUGGUCUGAGAGGAUGAUCAGCCACACUGGGACUGAGACACGGCCCAGACUCCUACGGGAGGCAGCAGUGGGGAAUAUUGGACAAUGGGCGAAAGCCUGAUCCAGCAAUACCGCGUGAGUGAUGAAGGCCUUAGGGUUGUAAAGCCCUUUUACCCGGGAUGAUAAUGACAGUACCGGGAGAAUAAGCUCCGGCUAACUCCGUG
rnacentral:rRNA from 1 species